UCGGUUUUGGGUUUUCAAAACCGCACCGAAACCGAAACCGAAACCGCACAUUUUUAUUUUUAUUUAGUUCAUUCAACUAGGUUAUACUUAUACAUUUGGUUUUGCGAUUCUGGGUUUGCACCGAGUGGGUUUGUAGUUUCAGUGACUGCUUCUGCGCCGCCUCCUUGCAUCUCCGCAUCUGCCUUUGCGACCUGGUCACCUGACUGCUUGCUUGCAUCUGCUUCUGCCUGCCUGCCUGCCUGCGAGCGAGUCGCAACUGCUUCUGCAUCUGCUUCUGCGGCUGCCUGCGAGCGACUGCUUCUGCUUGUGACCUCACUGAGUCACUGAGUCACUGCUUGCUUUCAUCUCUGCCUUGCCUCCAAUCUUGGAGUCAACACACCCAGAGAGUUGGCCAAAUCGACUUCAAGCAUUGUCUCUCUUACUCUUGAUCAAGAACCACAACAAGCUCCAAAGCAAUCUCAAGGUUCUAAUUUACAAGAGCCUCCCCUUAUGCGUUUACAAAGUGCAAGGUCUUCACAAGCUCAAAGGUCUCCUAAACCUUCAAAGAAUAAGUGUCUAAAAGGAAAAGGAAAGGUAAAGGUUUGAAACUUGAACGAUGCAAAGUAAGUUGAAAACCAAGAUUUUGUUGAAUUCCAUGAACCAUUUAUUUUUUUGGUUGUACUAAUGCCAUAAGGCAUUUGACAUUGAACUUUGUUUGAAACUUUGAAGUUUGAACUUUAGUUGUAUUAUGGCAAACUUAACUUUUCAAUUGGGUUGUAGUAAGCUAUUGUGAUUGAUUGGUGAUCAAGUUGAAUUUUAGUAGAUGUGAAUUAUGUGAUGCGUUUUUUGGUGCAGUUUUGUGCA